AUUGCAUCUUCUUUUUUUUGUUUUUCGUUCAGCUUCCUGUCUACUCAUUGCUCGGUUCCUUCCUUUAUAUCUUACACCUUCUCUACCCAUCCUAGCAUCUUCACCCACCUUGGCUCCAUCACAGAGUGGAAUCAAUAGUGAGCAGAGGUAGCCCCUGGCAGGGUGCAGCAAACAGGUCUUCAUCCAGCCCCAGAGAAAGGCAAGACAACAAGCGAAAGGAAAUGGAAUAGAAAAACGCGUGUUUGUAUGAAUGACACUCUGUCACCGAUAAGUGAAUCCUCAAGUCAAAGACACUAUUUGGCAUUCCAAGAGAAGCCGUUGAUUCUUGCCGUGUGCAUUUUUAGCAGUCUCCUGCGACACCAGAGGAGUUAUGGAUGACGCUCCGCUGACGUGUCCAACAGGCCGGAUAAUUUAUGAGCCAAUUGAAUUCUCUCGUCCGAAUGUUGCUGAUAGAUGGCGAUGAGUGGUCUGCUUCACGAUCCGACAGUCUUGAUCCCAGGAAGGAAGCCAACGCUGCCCACAGGCGGUCCCAGUGUCGGCCUCAAAAGCCUCUGACACCGCCGAGAAUCGAAUCCCGGUUAUCCAACCCAGAGAAACUUUAAAGUAUGGUAUUUCCAAUAGUCGCCACGGCACUUCGCUUCACUGAUUUGUGGUUGGUUAUUCAUCGCAGGAUUGCCUUGCCAUCUACUGGACUGUUUGGAAAUAUAAAAUGAGGAGUACUGGCCGCUGAAGUUGAUCGUGAAGGUAUCGUGUAAAUUACGGUGAAAAAGAUUUAGUUUUUGGCGUGUGAAGUGUUAAAAUGGUUGUUAAUGUGUUCUGUAAAUUUAUUUAGAGUGAUUUGUUGUUUAACCCAAGCCUUGUUUGGCCUUGUUAAGCCAAUAUCAGAGUGGGAUAAUGUAAGUUUUUGCUGUGUCAUCAUCUUCCACAAGAGUCAGAAUUCAACACCACACUCGCCUAGAGAGACAUUUUUAGGUCGUCUGUGGCAGUGUGUGCCUCAAUUACACUACAAAACAAAAAGCCCUGCACACCAGCCGAGAAUGAUGAGUAGCGGCCACCACACAAGUCCACGUCGGAUACGCACCAUGGCGCACCAGAUUUAGAUACGACGAGAAGUUUCCGACGUCCAAGAAUCACAGCAUCCCACGUGUCGCAUCUAUUCCCAAGGUCAGCGACGGCAUCAAAACACAGCAAACCAUAACGCACAUCUUCAACACCAUCGGAAUCUCAAAUCUCACGAAGUGAUACCAUCUCCUAAGUUACUGGCUUGCAGAGAGCAUUAACUUUGCCCGUGAGAUGUUACACGCGAAGUCUAGGCCCAUAGUCAAAAACGUAUCUUCAGAACGAUGGCUAAUAAUCAGUGCUGAUGCGACAAGACACAAUGUAAGUACGCC